UACGGGGGGGGCAAGCGUUGUUCGGAAUUACUGGGCGUAAAGGGUUCGUAGGCGGCCACCUAAGUCAGACGUGAAAUCCCUCAGCUUAACUGGGGAACUGCGUCUGAUACUGGUUGGCUUGAGUGCAGGAGAGGAACGCGGAAUUCCAGGUGUAGCGGUGAAAUGCGUAGAUAUCUGGAGGAACACCGGUGGCGAAGGCGGCGUUCUGGACUGCAACUGACACUGAGGAACGAAAGCCAGGGGAGCAAACGGG
rnacentral:rRNA from 1 species